rnacentral:rRNA from 1 species
GACGAACGCUGGCGGCGCGCCUAACACAUGCAAGUCGAACGGAGCUGAGAGAAGCUUGCUUUUCUUAGCUUAGUGGCGCACGGGUGAGUAACGCGUGAGUAACCUGCCCUGGAGUGGGGGACAGCAGUUGGAAACGACUGCUAAUACCGCAUAAGCCCACGAUCCGGCAUCGGAUUGAGGGAAAAGGAUUUAUUCGCUUCAGGAUGGACUCGCGUCCAAUUAGCUAGUUGGUGAGGUAACGGCCCACCAAGGCGACGAUUGGUAGCCGGACUGAGAGGUUGAACGGCCACAUUGGGACUGAGACACGGCCCAGACUCCUACGGGAGGCAGCAGUGGGGGAUAUUGCACAAUGGGGGAAACCCUGAUGCAGCGACGCCGCGUGGAGGAAGAAGGUUUUCGGAUUGUAAACUCCUGUCGUUAGGGACGAUAAUGACGGUACCUAACAAGAAAGCACCGGCUAACUACGUG